GGUGCCUUGGCGCAAUGGUAGCGCGUUGGUUUUCGGUUUGAAAGCAGUAUCACCAAAGGUUGAGGGUUCGAGCCCCUUGGGCAUCG